rnacentral:lncRNA from 1 species
UGAGGUGAAAAACUUUUUUAAGCAGCUCAUUCACAACACCUGCUUUACCCUAAAAGACUUAAAUAAAGCCAGCCUUUUAAAGAGUCCUUUACUGAUCAGUCUCUGCAGGGACUCUUAGGCAAUUAGUCUUAAUCCAAACCCAGUUGUCAGAAAUCAAAGUUAGGCGGUAAUUUACGAAGAUUCAGCCCUCUUCUUCCUAGGUCUGAUACCAGUUACUCACACCAGGUUUUCAGUUCUCCUUAGAAAUAUGAAAAUCCCGGAAGUAGGGGAAAGGGGAGCUGAAUUCUAAAACAGACCCAUUUUCACGGUGAGGCUGCAUAUCUUCCCUGAAACAAUGGAAAGAUAAUUUGAUGAGAGGUCCUUAGGUACUUUGGCAUUAGAAGUCCUUAAUCUUACUCAAUUGCAAACAUUAUGCAAUAUAUAUAUAUUCAAUUACAGAACUCCUUUAUUCAUAAAAGAAUGAGCUUAGCCUUUAGAGAACCAUUGAUAGGAUCACAAGGAAGACAUAUGCAAAUUGCUAGCCAUUCUCCUUACCCGCUAACACCUCUAUGAGAGUUCCAAAAGCGUGGUAUUUUUCCUUGGUAUCAGUAAGUUGAAAUGAUCAUGUUUAAUUUAAAAUAUUUAAUAUUUUAUUUAUUAAUAUUUUAAGACAAUGAGGGCACCAGUAAAAAUAACCUAGAGAGAACACUACUUUUAUUAGAACAUACUUAAAAAAUAAUUUUAAAAAGUCCAAAUCCUAAAUGGAGUGCACAUUUUAAUAAUAGGAAGCUGUUAUUUCUAUUACCUUAUAAUUAUUACACUUUAGACAUCAAACAUGGGCUUUAAUCAGCAAAGUUCUGCCAUUAUUUUGGUCACUCAUCCUUAAAUAACAGGGUAAGGAGUUUUUCUCUCCUCUUCCUCAAUAUAAAAACUAGACGAGCUUUCAGCCAUAGUGGAAUAAGUAGAACCAAAAUAGCCCUUCCUCUCUCCAAAACAAUUAUAAAAAUUGAACAAAAUAAAUGUUUCCAGGAAAUGGUUAACAGGCGGUAAAAAAACAGUAAUCCCUGAGAGAAUUCAAAAUUUCCUCCCUGAGGUGAAGAGAAAGAGUCCAAGAAGAGUGUGGUAUUUUGGCUACGCUGAGUGUGCAGAUAUCAGAGAGUCAGGGAAGCUAGAGUGGCUGGGAUUUUCAGGCGAAGGCAACUAGAGAGGAGGGAUCUGUGCAGAAUGAGGGCUCUGGAAGUCUGUGUGGGUGACUCCAAUGAGUCUGUGUUUGAAGGUUGUGUGGUCCACACACAGGAUGAGUGAGUGACCUCACUCAAGGCUUCCAGAUACCAGCUGCUAAAACAGAGAACAUAAAGAUACUAGCAGUUGAAAAGUUGAUGGGAGAUGUUAAAGCCUCCUACUAGAAUGGAGAGAGCUAAUUAACACCCUAUGAACACCCUUGGAAUUCAUCUGAGGCAAUGGGAGUUCCUGUCUUAGUAAGACCUACUAUAAACUGGCCCUAGCCAACAUAAAAUUUAGCCCAGGCAAGAUCUAUAGGGAAGACAGAGUGUAGGGAUUCAGUUUCACCAAAUUAGAAGCGCUUCACCAUGUAACAAACCCAACUAGUAUCCAUGAGGAUGUGGGUUUGAUCCCUUGCCUCAUUCGGUGGGUUAAAGGAUCCAGCAUUGCCCUGAGCUGUGAUGUAGGUCACAGAGGUGGCUCGGAUCCUGCAUUGCUGUGGCUGUGGCAUAGGCCAGCAGCUGCAGCUCUAAUUCGACCCAUAGCCUGGGAACUUCCAUAUGCCACAUGUGCAGCCCUAAAAAGCAAAAAAAACAAAAAACAAGAAUUAACAUUCCUUACAGGAAAAUAACAGAAUCUAAAGUCUUUAUAACCAUGUCAAUAAUCAUAUUAAAUGUACAUACUCUAAUUUAAAAGCAAACAUUGUCAGAUCAGAUAAAAAUGUAAAAUCUAGCUAUAUACAUAUUAAAAAUAAAGAAAUAAGUAACUUGGAUAUAAAAGGCAAUUUAAAAAUCAUGUAAAUAGUGAAUCUAAGAAAGUCUAGGGUGGCUAUGUUAAUAUCAGACAGAGUAAACUUCAAGAAAAAGAGUAUUAUAUGAAAUAAAGCAGGAUAUUAUAUAAGUUUGUUAAAUGACACAACAAUCCUAAAUAUGUAUGUACCUAAUAAUAGAACAUCAAAACUCAUGAAGCAAAAACCGACAGCCUCAAAAUGAAAAACAAAACUAUCCACAUAGUCAGAGAUUUUAAUACUCUUCUUUUAGUGUACUUGAUAGAACAAAUAUAAACAAAAUCAUGAUGGAUAUAGAUUAUCUAAAUGACACAAUCAAUGGCAUUAACCUAAUUAACAUUUGCUGAACUCUAUUAUCCCACAACUGCUGAAUACACUACUGUUUUCCAGAGCAUAUACAAUGGUCACCCAGAGAGACCAAAUGCCGAGCCAUAGUAUAUAAUCCAAUGAAUUUCAAAGGGUUUCGAUCUUAUAGCAAAUAUUUUCUGGCUACAAUGGAAAAGAAAUAUCAUUGAGUCCUUAAAUGGGCAGGUAAUGAAAAAACAUUCAAGAUAAUUUUGUCUAGGAAAAAAAAUCAUCAAGAUUAGGAUGAGCAAUAAAACUGAUUUAUGAGGAAAAAACGAACUAAAAAGACUGUGAAGUCUUAGGGGAAAAAAAUGAUAGUAAACAAUUAGAAAAAAAAAAAGAGGUUCUAUGAAGGAGAUACAACAGCUAUUAUUUUUAAUCUUCCUAAAGUAGUCCCUGCAUUGAGACAGCUAAUAGCAAUGCGGGUCAUUGGAUCUUCUAGGUUCUUUAGGAACAUUUUUUUAAGGAAUAUCUUUGAAGUUGUAUCAGCAUUCCUUCGUAUGGGAGAUCUGGGACUCUUGCUAAACUGUAGAUUCCUAUGUAAUACAUCUGGGCUGGGGUCUGAGAUUUUGCAUCUCUAAAAAGGUCCUGGUAAUGCUGGAACUGCUAUCUGUAGACCACAUUUUGUGUAGGAAGCUUUAGGAGAAACUACAUCAUUAGUCUGCCCAUCCAAUCAUGUAAAAAAAUUAAAUCACAUGGGCAAAGCCAAUAAUGUUUCCCCAUUCUGUAGUCCUUUCAUCAUUAAUUACAAGCUGAUUUUAUAGAAUGCAUAAAAUAUAUUUUUAAUAUUCUGUAUUUUUAACAUGAUUCUACCACAAACAAGAAAAAAAGUAAUAGGAAAGAAAUGGGAGCAGAGAGCUGAGCACGGAACAGUUGGUGAAACAAAGAUCAGGAAGCUAGGUAGAGUGGCCCUUUGCUUCCUAUAUCUUGAAUGGGGACAAUACUCUCUACGAUAGUUUUCCAGGAGAAGGACCUUUGGGUUUCUCAAGUGGCAAAUCCAAUGUAAUUAAAAAUACCCAAAAUUGGCUCUCAUGAAAUGUAUCGUAAGCAAAACACUUUUUAUAAAAUUGUAAAGAAGAUGUAGCCAUAUGAAAAAAAAGAUCUAUACACAUCUCCUGGAGAGAAAUUUGAGGACUACUAGACACCUUCAGAACCUGAUGAUCAGCUGAGUGAAAUGAUAAAGAAAGGUCCUUUGAAACUCACCGCACAACAAAAGGAGUGAUACAGUACAAUAAGAUCUUUGGUCACUAAAAGACUGAGUCAAUGGAUGCUACUUAUUCUUUCAUGUUAGUUACUAUGGAAUCUGAGACCAAAAUCUGUAUUAAUUCAAUCAUGCCAAUUGUAUUCUUCUUUGAGUCCCAGAUUCAUUCAACCAAUGUUUGAUAACACCUAGUAGAUGCAGGCAUAGUAUUUCCACAAUAACAUUUAUCUAGAAAAGAAUUCAUGUUCCCCAGAAAUCAUUCUUUUCCACAUAAGGUAAUUGUUUAAUUUUAAUGUUUAACUUUUAUUUGGAAAUAAAUUUAUACUUACAAAGAAGUUGCAGUAGUACAAAGAGCACCCUAUGCCCUUUACCCAGAUUCUCCUAUUGUUAACAUUUAGCCUCAUUUUCUCCAUCGUUCUGAACCAUUUGAGACUAAGCUGCAUACAUCAUGGCCCUUUACCCUAUAUGCUUCAGAAUGUGUUUCCUAAGAAUAACCACAGUAUAGUUAUCAACAUUGGUAUUGGUAAAUUUAGCAUUAAUGCAAUACUUCUAGUUAAUCUAUCAUCUGUAUUCCAAAUUUGUCACUUGCCUCCAAAAUGUCUUUGAUAACAUUUUUUUUUCCUUCAGAACUGAAUCCAGUCUAAGAUCGUCUUGUUUUCAUAUUCCUUUAGUGUCAUUUGAUUUUGAAAAUUCCUUUGGCCUUUCUUUGCCUUUUAGGACAUAGACAUUUUUAAAGAAUUCAUUCUGUUUUUUUAAAAAUAGAGAGGUCCUCAUUUAGAGCUGUCUGAAGUUUCCUCAGGAUUAAACUUAUACAUUGUUCCUUCCUGGCAGGAAUUUUAUAUAAAUGAUGUUAUGUCCUUCUCAAGGUAUCACAUCUAGAAAGGGUGACACCAUUUAAUUAGAAACAAAACAAAAACAAAUAAAAAAAAAACCCAGUGUCUUAAUAGACAAAAUGUUCAAUUUAAAAAUAAUCUCCUGUUAAUUUAAUAGGCUUGUUCUUAAUGAAGUGAAAUGUUUUUAUUACAUAAAAGAAUUUUUUAUGUCUAGAACAAGUAAGCAAGCCAACAUCUUAAUCAUAUAUUUUCUGAGACUUUUCAUUCACCGCAUUUUCUGUGAUCUUGUUUUAUGAUCAAACAUUCAAUAGCAGUAGGCUAAUCAAUAGCCUACGAUAGCUAUGGGAGGAAAAUAUCCAGAAGCAUUUUUAUAAUAGUCAUUCGAUUUCUUCAAGUGGGUUUUUGAAAACUGUCUACUUUUUUAAAUAUACUUGAAAUUAAGACCUCCAAAAUGAAAAUAUUUGCAUUUGCCCCAUGUCACUGGUUUAUUUAAUCAUAACAUUCACUGAAUUAAAUAAGCCAUUUAGGUCUUGUUGCAACAGACAUUAACACUUUUUUUUGUCUCUGAAUUGACAUUAAAACUACCAUUAAAUAUGGUAUAAUUUCAUGAGACUUAGGCUCUGGUUUACUACACGUCUGUAUUACAGAUGAAUUCAGGAAAAAAGGGCACCCUGACAGAUGGUUUCAGUUCAUUGUACUUUUUCUUAAAGAACAUUUGUUUUUGAUUUGUCUAUAAAUAAUGAAAGAAAACAUAGCUGAGGGGCCCAGUGUGAUUUUUAUAGAAGGUUCGUUUUUGGAAAUCUGAUAAGCUUAUAACCACAUGUGUUUAAAAUCAUUCUAGUAUAAAAUUAAGAAACUUGGGGUGGAGGAAUCCUACUUGUCAGGCAACUCAAUGUUUACUUUAUCAAUUACUCAGCACUAUUUGUCAAACAUUUUGUGUUUUUAGAAAUUUUUGAAAAAAUUUUAAAUAUGUGUACAACUUAACAUUGCUUAUGACAAAUUUUGAGCAUGCAGAUGUUAUGAAUCAUACUUUAAGGUUGCACAUACAUAAGCAAAUGUAUGUGUUAAUGAUGCAAAAUAAGAGACUUCUGCUUGUGCACAUGGACCUAUUAGAAGUAUAGAAACACAUUUGCACACAUGGGCACACAUGGGCACACUGGGCGUGGGCACAUUUGUAUUGUUAAGAGGAUCUGUCUUAGACCAUUCUUCUUAGAAGGGGAUAACUUUAGCAAUACACAUUAAGCCAAACAAGAAUUUUUUUUUUUAGGGCCGCACCCGUGGCAUAUGGAGGUUCCCAGGGUAGGGUUCUAAUCAGAGCUGUAGCCACCGGCCUGUGCGCCAGAGUCACAGCAAUGCCAGAUCAGAGCCACAUCUGUGACCUACACCAUAGCUCACAGCAACACCAGAUCCUUAACGCACAGAGUGAGGCCAGGGAUCAAACCCGCAUCCUCAUGGUUCAUAGUCAGAUUCAUUAACCACUGAGCCACCACGAGAACUCCAAACAAGAAAUUUUAAAAGAAAUUUUAUCAAGAUACUUUUCUGUUGGGCAAUGAUCUGGCCAACAGAAUUUGAUUUUAUGUGUUCUACAAAUUCUUCACCAGAGAACAGCUGUGACAAAAUCCUUUUACUUAUGUCAGAUAUAAUGCUCUGCUUUGAAAACUCGACAAGCAAAUGCCGCCUAGAAAUAAGUUUGUUAUGUAUGUAUUAAUCAUCCUGGAAGGCAGUAUGAGCAACUCAAAUCACAGUUUCCUUAAAUAAAUCUCAACCUGAAUUUCUAACACUGAAUGAGAUAUUUAAGAGCAUUUGAUAAGAGUUUAAACAAUAGCUUUAAAAUAGUUUGAGAACUAUUCUUUAACAUACAUUUUUAUUAAUAUUAUGCAUCCCACUGUCUAGUCUAGAAAGGUAUACUUUGACAGACCAUGA